UACGUAGGGUGCAGGCGUUAAUCGGAAUUACUGGGCGUAAAGCGUGCGCAGGCGGUCUUUUAAGUCAGAUGUGAAAUCCCCAGGCUUAACUUGGGAACUGCGUCUGAUACUGGAAGGCUUGAGUGCGGGAGAGGGAUGUGGAAUUCCAGGUGUAGCGGUGAAAUGCGUAGAUAUCUGGAGGAACACCGGUGGCGAAGGCGGCAUCCUGGACCGACACUGACGCUGAGGCGCGAAAGCUAGGGGAGCAAACGGG
rnacentral:rRNA from 1 species